rnacentral:rRNA from 1 species
GUGGGGAAUUUUGGACAAUGGGCGCAAGCCUGAUCCAGCCAUUCCGCGUGCAGGAUGAAGGCCUUCGGGUUGUAAACUGCUUUUGUACGGAACGAAAAGCCUCUGGUUAAUACCCGGGGGUCAUGACGGUACCGUAAGAAUAAGCACCGGCUAACUACGUGCCAGCAGCCGCGGUAAUACGUAGGGUGCGAGCGUUAAUCGGAAUUACUGGGCGUAAAGCGUGCGCAGGCGGUGAUGUAAGACAGUUGUGAAAUCCCCGGGCUCAACCUGGGAACUGCAUCUGUGACUGCAUUGCUGGAGUGCGGCAGAGGGGGAUGGAAUUCCGCGUGUAGCAGUGAAAUGCGUAGAUAUGCGGAGGAACACCGAUGGCGAAGGCAAUCCCCUGGGCCUGCACUGACGCUCAUGCACGAAAGCGUGGGGAGCAAACAGGAUUAGAAACCCUGGUAGUCC